AGGUGAUGCAUUACCAUAAAGACCUUGAAGUUAUACACAGUGUCUUAAUAGAAGAAGAUUUCAUAUCACCUACUAGACCCUCUGCAAGGUUUGAUGCCUUGCAUGGAAUGAGGAAAAUUAAAGCAGCCAAUGAAUUCAGUUCCAUGGAAUUUCCUGAGAUGAAAGCCAUUAGUAAAGGAACUCUAUCAUAUCUGACAAGAAGGUUUGAAAGAGAUGCAGUCACUAAACCAAUGCUUGGAUUAGAAGAAUCAACAAUCCAUGUA